rnacentral:rRNA from 1 species
ACCUAGCCAUGUCCAGGAUGAAGUGGAGGUAAAGCUCCAUGGAGGUCCGAACCCACGUUCGUUGCAAUGACCGGGGAUGAGGUGUGGCUAGCGGUGAAAUUCCAAACGAACUUGGAGAUAGCUGGUUCUCCCCGAAAUAGUUUUAGGACUAGCGUUGGGUAUGAGUUUAACGGCGGUAAAGCACUGAAUGGGCUAGGGGGCGAUAAGCUUACUGAACCCUAUCAAACUAAGAAUGCCGUAUAAAUGCUUACCAGCAGUCAGACUGCGAGUAAUAAAAUCCGUAGUCAAAAGGGAAACAGCCCAGAUCUACAGCUAAGGUCCCUAAUACACGCUAAGUGGAAAACGAUGUGAGAUUGCAUAAACAACCAGGAUGUUGGCUUAGAGGCAGCCACUCGUUCAAAGAGUGCGUAAUAGCUCACUGGUCGAGUGAUCUUGCGCGGAAAAUUUAACGGGGCUAAGCAUGUAACCGAAGCUUAGGGUUUACGCUUUGCGUAAGCGGUAGGGGAGCGUCGAAUACGGGGUGAAGUCAUACCGAAAGGAAUGGUGGACUGUAUUCGAGUGAGAAUGCCGGAAUGAGUAGCGAGAAUUAUGUGGGAAUCAUAAUGGCCGAAAAUCUAAGGUUUCUUGGGGAAGGUUCGUCCGCCCAAGGUAAGCCGGGAGCUAAGGCGAGGCCGAGAGGCGUAGUCGAUGCACAUACGGUAAAGAUUCCGUAGCCACCGAAGUCGUUAAAUACAGGGACACAGGAACAUAGCCUAACCCCACCGUUGGUUGAGUGGGGCGUAAGGGAGCGAAAAUUAGUAGCGAAGUAGGUGAUUGUACACUGGCGAGAAAAGCUGUAUGAAUUGACAAGGUGCCCGUACCGCAAACCGACACAGGUAGAUGAGGAGAGAAUCCUAAGACCAGCGGGAGAAGUGUUGUUAAGGAACUCGGCAAAAUGACCCCGUAACUUCGGGAUAAGGGGAGCCUACGAGAGUAGGCCGCAGAGAAUAGUCUCAAGCGACUGUUUAGCAAAAACACAGGUCUAUGCUAAAUCGAAAGAUGAUGUAUAUGGGCUGACGCCUGCCCGGUGCUGGAAGGUUAAGGGGAAGUGUUAGAGCAAUCGAAGCACUGAACUUAAGCCCCAGUAAACGGCGGCCGUAACUAUAACGGUCCUAAGGUAGCGAAAUUCCUUGUCAGGU